UUUUCUGAAACAAGCACUUGAGACUUGGAUUUACCUUUUUAGCAUUUUUCUAUGAUUUGUUAUGAUUUAAAUAGAUUAAACAAGGAUUAAAUCAUAUAACAUUAAUCCUAGCAGAGACAUGUGCCAAAAGUAUUUUUAUUAGAAACUACACCUUAUACUGAGUCUAGCAAAAUUGGUUUGACAUUUUUCUGAAUUUUCUAUGAGUUUUGGUGAAUUUCCAAAAUUAAACACAUUUUUUGCCAAUUUAAAACAAAAAUCGAGGUAAAUUUGCGAUCUAGCCCUCGCGUCUAUACUUUAUUUGCAUAGGGGUCCCUAGUUUUUGCACUAAAGCCCCUGAUUCGAUUCUCUCGAUCGCAAUCGGGUCCCCGGGCGGUGCACGGCGGUGGGCGGGCAAAAUCCCGAUGAAGCGCCGGUGGGAUUUGGGCGGAAAGAGGUCGGGGAGGAGCGGUGGCUCACCUGCGACCGAUUUGAGGUGGUUGCGGCUGUCUAGGAGGUCCAGCGGGAAAGGAACGCGAUGGCGGACGGCGUGCAGUGGCGGUAUCUACGGGCGGCGGUGUUCCGGCGGUGGCGGCACUCUUCGCGGGCAACA
rnacentral:lncRNA from 1 species